CAGUCGCCGCGGGAAUACGUAGGGUGCGAGCGUUAAUCGGAUUUACUGGGCGUAAAGCGUGCGCAGGCGGUUUUGUAAGACAGGCGUGAAAUCCCCGGGCUCAACCUGGGAAUGGCGCUUGUGACUGCAAAGCUAGAGUGCGGCAGAGGGGGAUGGAAUUCCGCGUGUAGCAGUGAAAUGCGUAGAUAUGUGGAGGAAUACCGAUGGCGAAGGCAGCCCCCUGGGAUAACACUGACGCUCAUGCACGAAAGCGUGGGGAGCAAACAGGAUUAGAGACCCCCGUAGUCCCUGUCUCUUAUAC
rnacentral:rRNA from 1 species